rnacentral:rRNA from 1 species
AUGACAGGAGAAUUCAAUGGCCUUCAGAAGUUAAUUCGAGAUGAGAACCCAUAUGCUUUCUAUAUCCAUUGCUUUGCCCAUCAACUGCAGUUGGUAGUUGUUGCUGUUUCGAGAUGCUGCAAGGGUGUUGAGGAUUUUUUUGAAUAUGUGACCAUGAUUGCUAAUCUCAGUACUUCAUCUUGCAAGAGGAAGGAUAAAUUGCUUGACAAGCAAAAAGAGGUUCUUUUGGAUAAGAUUAAGAGUGGUGAGAUGCCGACGGGAAGAGGGAAAAAUCAAGAAACAUCCUUGGUCAGACCUGGAGAUACAAGAUGGGGCUCUCAUUACACAACCUUAUCUCGCAUUGAAUCAAUGUGGGAUGCAGUCAUAGAGGUUUGGGGCAUUGUUGAGGAUGAUGUGCGUGUUCCAUGUAGGGCUGGAGGUUUGGUUCAUCAAAUGGAGACUUUUAGCUUUGUGUUCAUCCUGAAGAUGAUGCUAAAAAUCCUUCGCAUGACAAAUGAUUUGUCUCUUCUAUUGCAAAAGAAGGAUCAAAAUAUUGUUCAGGCAAUGUCAUUGGUUACGGAUGUGAGAACACGUUUGAUCAACUGGAGAAAUAAUGGUUGGGAGCCACUCUUGGAAGAUGUCAAAGCCUUUUGCACCAAAAACGACAUUCCCAUACCAAAUAUGGAUGACAUCUUCACAAAGUGGGGGAAAUCAAGAAAAAGUGGACGAAACAAUGUCACGGCUGACCAUUUUUUCCGCGUGGACACCUUCUAUGCUGCCAUAGACUCCAUCACCACAGAGUUUGAUCAUCGUUUUAAUGAGGUAUCUUCAGAGCUGCUCCAGAACUUCUCUUGUCUUGACCCUAGAAACUCCUUUUCUAGGUUCAAUGUGAAUAAGCUUGCUAGACUCACGGAGAUUUAUCAUGAGGAUUUCUCAGAUUAUGAACGUGAACAUAUAGUUGAUAACCUAGAGCUAUUCAUUAUCCAUAUGAGAAGAAUUGAAGACUUUAGAGCUUGUCAUGAUAUUGCAAGUCUAGCAAAAAAGAUGGUUGAACUUGAAAGGCAUGUCAUGUUUCCUGCUGUUUAUCGCCUCAUUGAGUUGGCACUGCUACUACCGGUAGCGACGGCAACAGUUGAAAGAGCCUUCUCAUCUAUGAAAAUCAUCAAGACUGAGUUGCGCAGCAAGAUGUGUGAUGGCUGGCUAAAUGACUUGAUGGUGUGUUACAUUGAGCGAGAGAUCUUCAAAAGUAUUGAUCUCAAUAAAAUUAAGGAAGAUUUUCAGAAGGAGGGUAGGGCACUGCCGUUGCCUGGGUCUUCUACACGCCACUAA